AACGAACGCUGGCGGCAUGCCUAACACAUGCAAGUCGAACGGGAUCCUAGCUUGCUAGGUGAGAGUGGCGGACGGGUGAGUAACACGUGGGAAUCUGCCUUUUGGUUCGGGAUAACCGCGGGAAACUGCGGCUAAUACCGAAUGCCCUCGAGAGAGGAAAGAUUUAUCGCCAGAAGAGGAGCCCGCGUCCGAUUAGGUAGUUGGUGGGGUAAAGCCUACCAAGCCGACGAUCGGUAGCUGGUCUGAGAGGAUGAUCAGCCACACUGGGACUGAGAUACGGCCCAGACUCCUACGGGAGGCAGCAGUGGGGAAUAUUGGACAAUGGGGGCAACCCUGAUCCAGCAAUGCCGCGU
rnacentral:rRNA from 1 species